rnacentral:rRNA from 1 species
UUUCUGCCACCGAAUACAUUAGCAUGGGAUAAUGGAAUAGGACCCUGUCCUCCUAUUUUCAGUUGGUUUUGGCAGCGCGAGGACUAGGGUAAUGAUUAAUAGGGAUAGUUGGGGGCAUUAAUAUUUAAUUGUCAGAGGUGAAAUUCUUGGAUUUAUGAAAGAUUAACUUCUGCGAAAGCAUCUGCCAAGGAUGUUUUCAUUAAUCAAGAACGAAAGUUAGGGGAUCGAAGACGAUCAGAUACCGUCGUAGUCUUAACCAUAAACGAUGCCGACCAGCGAUUAGGAGACGUUGAAUACAAAACACCACCAUCGGUGCGGUCGUCCUUGGCGUCGGUUUCGGCCGGCGCGGGGGUGGCUUAGCCCGGUGGCACCGGUGAAUGACUCCCCUAG